UGCAUGUGGAAGUUCCUGGGUCCGGGAUUGAACCUAAGCCACAGCAGUGCCCCAAGCUGCUGCAGUGACAAGGCCAGAUCCUUCACCCCCUGUGCCACAAGAGAACUCUGACACAGAUAGGUUUAUUUGGUCAGCAGCAAAAUGGAAAACGAUUUUCCUUAGAAGUUUAAAAGCAUAGCUCCAUUAGCUUCUAGACAGGCUCUGUUAAAGAGAAAUCGGCUGCUGACCUGAAAUUCAUUUAUUUCUAGAUAGUCUCUUUUAUUUGUGGGUUGGUUUGUUGUCUUUGUGUCUCUGGGAGCUUUUAGGUUGUCAUUUUUUGGAUUCACAGCCCUAAAUCUCACUGUGUGGCUGGGCGUAUGUGGCAGCUGUUGAUAAUGCUCCCUAAAUAUUUCCAGCUCUCUCGCCAGAGCCCUUGUGGUGGGUUGGACCGUGUAACCAGCUGUGCACAGGGGUAAAGUGUCAUGUGCCACAUUGAUGGGCAGCAUUUAGUUGCUUAAAGGAGACCUUGGAAUAUGCUAACCCUCUGCCCAGGGGUUAACACCACUCCAGAUAGUACCUAUUCAGCUAACUGGGUUCCCCAUUUGAGGACGGUGCAGAGCAGAGCAGAUACAUCCCAAAGUAUGAAAUAACCUUUAUUGUUUUAAGUCACUGGAGUGUGGGAAUCAUUUCUUAGCACAACAUAGCCUUACAUAGAGAAGAGACCUGUGGUUGCCAAGGGGGAGGGGGAGGGAGUGGGAUGGCCUGGGGGUUUGAGGUUAGUAGAUCAACUACUACAUUUAAAAUGGACAAGCAACCACGUCCUAGCGUACAGCACAGGGAACUAUAUCCAGUCUCUUGGGAUAGACCUUGAUGAGGAUAAUAUAAGAAGGGGAAUGUAUGUAUAUGUGUGACUGAGUCACUUUGUCGUACAGCAGCAAUUGCCACUACAUUGUAAAAUCAACUAUGUUUUAAUGAAUAAAACCAGUGCUGCAACCUCAACGGCAAAACAAUUCUUUGUAUUAAACUUUCCCUGUUCAAAUUACAUUACGGCUUCUCUCUCAUGAUUAGACAUAGAGACGGAUACAGAAUUUGUACCAGGGGUGGCUCCAGGAGCUAGAACUGCCAAGAUGGGAUUUUGCUAUUGGUUUGGUCUUGCCCCUGGACUGGAGCACAGUUUCAAGCUUCUUUGCAACAAGAAAUGAGAUGCUAAUAAUCCAUGCCACGCAGUAGCAUCGUGGUUAAUUAAACUAUCCCCUACAAUUGGGUGUGGCGAAGCUCUGCCUGCCUCGGGAGACAUAGUGGCUGCUAUGCUCCCUCAUCACGGUACCGACGAUGGCGGUGCAACCUGAGUUCUUCCGGGAGCACCUGAGGGUUACGAGAAGGAAAGGACAAGCUCAGGUCCUUGGAACGCUCCACUUAAGUCAUGGCCUAAGCACCAGAGAGCUCCUAGGACAGCUGUAAAAGAAAUUCUUAAUUUCUGUAGCCACGUGGCUUGUGUUGAUAAAAAUCAAAUGCAAAAUUGUGAGCUGCUGAAUUACAGCAAUGAAUUCACGGUUGCACCAGGUUUCCUAUGUGAAGAUGAGUCAUUGACCCUGUGAUAGGCAGAUGCCGAGAAGCUGGACGCUUGGGUCAACCGGGAGGGUGAUUCUGGAGGAGGUUUACAUCAGUGGAUUUUGAGGAAAGCAGGUUUCCCUCCAAAAUGUGGAUGGGCUUCGUCAGUCGUUUGAAGACCUGAAACACAGGUCUGACCUCACCUGGGCAAGAGAGAGUUCUGCAGGAGGUGGCCUUUGGACCUGAACUCCACGUCACCUCUUCUCAGGGGUCCCAGCCCAACGGCUUUCUUUACUUUUGGCUUCAUCACCCCACUGAGUGUCCAGCCUGCAAGCUCAACGGCAGAUUUAUGACCUGCCCGCCUCCAUUACCACACGAGUCCGUUCUUUAGAAUAAAUCCCCCCAUAUAUGUGUAAAUCCAUGUCCAUACUCAGUUUCCUCUAGACCCAUCCCAAUCACUCCGUGUUUCCACUGAACUUAUUGGUGUCAAAUUUCAUUGUGCCCCAAGGACACAGGUACGCACCACACUUUGGGAGGAAAUAACUUAGAUGCUUAAAAAAAAAAAAAAGGCAAGUUAUAUUUGAGAUCUAUAUUGACAGAAAUCUGGGGAACACGGGUGGGAGUGGAUCCUAAGGGAGUUAGACCAAGGAGUGUCGACAAUUUUAGCAGUUCAUCCCGAAUGUUUUCAUGUAGGUGCACUGAGAGAAGUUCCAAAGGCAAUGCCAUUGUUUAUGCAGCUAAGAGAGGCUCUCACUGCAACUCAGACUCAGUGGUGUUCUAUGUUUAAUGAGGCCGAGGUUCCUGAGCUUCCCGGGCAUGAAGUGGAAGAGUAAAUAACUAAUGUCCUAAUGAAAUCUCAGCUUUAUGGAACUCACUCUUGAUUGAAAGCCCGUACAUCUUUCUGUUAUUGUAGCCCCACAGUUAAUACACACACGUAUGAGCGCUUCCGUAUUACCCAGUUUGUCUCAAGCGUUUGUUUCCACCUUGAAUAAUCUUCCCCCAGGUGCUUGUUUUAGUGUUUCUGUACAAAACAUACACUGUUACUCCCAUUUUUCUGAGGAAUUAUACCCGUACUACUAGCUGAGCCCAUUUAUUGACCGUCUGAAAAUUGACUGAUCUACGAUAGAGAUUCUACCAACUUUGAAUUAAUGUCCACUUUCUAUCGUUGGACAUGUCGCGCAUCUCAUGAUGAUAUUGUCCAUUUGGUUCGACUGAUUUACUAGUCCAAGCAGGAUGCUGACAAUCUCCUUGCUGGGUGAGGAAGUGGACGAUUCUCUUACUUCGUCAGGUGUCUUGGCUUCAGCUAUUAAUGACAUUACUUUUAACUAGUUUAAGCUCCAUCGGAUGCUUUCUCUAACAGAGCUUAAGAAAAAUCUGUACUUAUUAUCUAUUUUUUGGUAACUAUGUCCAAUCGUUUGAUUCUUUUCUUGCAUAAAAUGAUUCAUUUGCAGCAAGGUGGUGUCAGAGUUCACUUGGCGUCACUAUUUUUUUAGUAAAUUUUCAUGCAGGUGAAUCAUUUAGAUGAAAGAGCAAAGAAUCAAAGGGCAUAUAAAUCUAAAAUGAACACUCCAUGGAGAAGAAACAGGCACAACCCUGUAAAUCAACUAUGUUUUAAUAAAAAAUGUUAAGGAAUCAUGACAGUUUUGUGAAUUAGUUCUGUAUCAUUAUUAUUAGAUUCCACAUAUUAGUUACCUCAUAUGAUAUUUGUCUCUGUCGGACUUACUUCACUUGGUAUGAUAAUUUCUAGGUCCAUCUAUGUUGCUGAAAAAUAGCUUUAUUUUGCUCUAUGUGGGAAAAGACUCUGUAAAGAAAUGGAUAUACAUAUAUAGGUAUAACUGAUUCACUUUGCCAUACACCUAAAACUUACACAACAUUGGAAGUCAACUAUACUCCAAUGAAAUUUAAAUUUAAAUUUUUUAAAAAUAAAACCUAAAUAAAUAAAAAUUUUAAAAACAUGACAGCUAAUUACUAACUUUGAGGAAAUUAACAAAAUAAGCUAUGUUUUCUUUAGGAUCACCUAGUGGUAAUUAAUAAUAAUCAUUAUGAAAUAAAUAUGAACAACUUA
rnacentral:lncRNA from 1 species